rnacentral:tRNA from 1 species
AGUCUUAUAGUCAAAGUAUGAUUUUAGAUUGCAAAUCUAAAGGUAAAGAUAUCCUUUUAAGGCUU